CCAUUGCUCAGUUGGUAGAGCACAAGGCUCUUAACCUUGUGGUCGUGGGUUUGAGCCCCAUGGUGGG
rnacentral:tRNA from 1 species